CAUCCACACCCUCCACACCCCUCCUCCGUCCUCCGCCUCCCGCCACGCAUAACGGUCCCUGAGUUCCGACUGUCCAUGUCUGAUUUUCCAUUCUAAAUCGCUCUUGAAACCAUCUAUCAGUCAGUCAGCCACCCUAGUGUCUCAUGCCACAUAUAAAAUCAAAUAAUAUCUAAUCACACAUGAGUAAAUGGUGUCAAAAUUCAACAAAAUCCAACGUGAAAGCGAUCGAAAGAGUGAGGUUUUCAAAAUGGCGGAGCUCGGCUGCCGUGGAUGGCGCUAGCUAAGAGGGAUUCUCUCGCGUACCGUCGACAGCAGGAAUAUGGAUCUUUCCGUCGAGUUGUGUGCUUCUGCGGCUGUUUAUUUACAGGUGCAAUGAAGAGGAACCACCUGAAAACUAAACAACACCUAGCAAGUUUGUCUCCUGAAGAACAAGAAAAAUCCUCCAGGGAACACUCUUUCAAGAGCGAGCUCUAAAAUAAUCCGAAGGACAAUACCCAGAGAAAACAACAUCCGGAGCCUCUAGAAGACAUCAGACUCCUUUAGAAUAAGUCUCCUAAAGCCUUCAAGAGCCUCUAAGAGUCUCCCAAAGGAUACGCCGAAGCUAUUCAGGAGACUCCGUCCUUACCCUGAAUCCUUCCCUAGUACCUCCACCUCCCUCCCGCAAGCUCCUUGGUGCUCAGUAGUGUUGUGAAACUCCGUAUUCUAUACCAAGGCCCAUGAACUUCCCCAAUGAUAAUGAUUAGAUGAUUAUAAUGUGUGUUUUAAUUGGUCGGUUAGAUUAAUUCAGUGUUGUCUCCAUCAAUCUUCGAAAAUUGUAUAGAUGGUUAACCAAUGUAUUACCGAAAAAGUAUUAAUUCAAUCGAAAAAAAUAAUAAAAUUGCGGUUGGCACACAAUAUUCCUUAAGUCAUAAUAUGUCCUGAUAAAUAUAAAUAGACAACGAAAUGUUUAAGUGAAUUAUUGAGUUUCUUAUCAGUUUUCUCUAUUGUGUGAUAAAUAAACUUACACAAAACUUAAUUACCAUAAAGAAAUAAUUUAUAUAGGUAAAAAUCAUUAAGUUAUUUAAGCAUUAAAAAACACAAUAUAUAAUACAGUAAUUCAUUGUCUGAAGAAAAAUAACAAGCGAGGAGAGUCAGGAAGAGGAGAUACACACAUUAAGUUCAUCGCUUAAGUGUUAAUUUAGAAUACGGAGACCAUAAACCUACGUUCACCACCACGCCUAACACUGCUUCUAACAGCCCCCUCCCCUCUAACACACCCACUAACACCUAAGUUAAUGCUCUACAUCUACCCUGUAGAUCCGAAUUUGUGAGAUAAUUGUUAACAAAUUCGGUUCUAGAGAGGUUUGUGUGGGGCAUACAUGGCUACUGUCUAACAAACCUGAGUGUGUGGUGAGUCUAGGUGAGGCACUGACCAUCUUACUGUAACGAGUACCACCAAACUCCUUCGUGGAUGAGAGUGUAAUGUAACUAUGUAACUCUCACCCUGAACUUGAUGUAACUAAUACUGUAUUUCUAUGUAACUCUUUGCCUGAACUUGGUAUAACUAGUAAAAAAAAAGCCAAUUGGUUUAUAAUGUAAUAUAUACCUAUGUAAUCCUUUGCCUGGUGUUGGUGUAAUCAGUAUAGGAAAACUCUGAUGUUAAUGUGUUUGUUCUAUGCAACUCUGAUUUGUUAUAGGGUAGAUAUUCUAAACUUAACUGUAAACAAUAUAGGACAGUCCAGACAAGUGUAAAUAAUAUAAAGGAAACAUAACUACGGGAAGGGUUUAAAAUAUAGGCGGCUCUUUGACAGAUAUUUGGUGUAAGAGAUAUAUGCAGGUGUAACAGAUAUUAGUGUAACAAAAUAAGAUAACGCCAUGACAGAUUACACAGCAAAAUGGAUAAAGGUAAAUUUUUGACAUCGAUGAUUUCAAUAUGAAUAAGUUAAAUCUAUUAUCCAGGUCCUCAUGUCAGCUAUCAUAUUCGACGUUUUUCUUACGCACUGUCCCAAAAGGUAUCUCUGGUCUAGUGGGCUAUUUCUACAAUGUCUUAUCACAAAAAAGUACUCGAACCCUCCAUAGGCACACGUGGCACCUACACAUAACAAACAUGCUAAAAUUAUAUCCCUCAAUAUUGUAAAAAUUAGUUAUAAAAAGGAUGACAUGAUUUAUAAUAUAAUUUUACUAAAGAAUCAAGUCAUUCUGUUUUUUUUUUCAUUUCCUCGAGACUGAUCCACUCAUCCACUCGCCAGUCUUACUCUACUUUUCCUCCGAUAUAUAUAUUUACUUCUGCUACUCCUUCACGAUUUGAAAUCCUCCUCCAUGUCUCACACUCACUGUAGUUUACAUACCUACUGAGUUGCUAGGUGUACGGCGUGAGAUGUUAUGUAUAAUAAUAAUAAUAAUAAUAAUAAUAAUAAUAAUAAUAAUAAUAAUAAUAAUAGUAAUAAAAUGAAUACAAAUAUGAAUAAAUGUAACUAAAACAGUUAUAAUAACAACAAGAAUACUGUAAUAACACUUGUAUAAAUUUAUUAAUUUUAUUUGACACAGACAUCUUAAAAUAUACAGCAUAAUUAUGAUAAAUGAGGCAAAUUAUCAGGAUAAUUAUAGAAUCUCAAAACGCCAUAAUAUAAAUAGUGUCUCUUGUGUAAUAAUAACAAUAUCAGUAGUGACAUUUGGGUAAUAUUGAUAUAAAUUAUUGUAAAUAUCGUCGUCACCAUUUUUACAUCUCAUGCACCAGCUGGUAAGGUUGGUGAGUCACUGGAGGUGUUAGUUGUGCCUUUACUUUACUUUUAUUUGUCCUUUACAUUACUUUACACUACAGUACUUCACUUAACCUUUCUUUACUUUACUUUUUGUACUCUGCCCAUUACUUAUUUUACUUUAGCUUACAGUUUACUUACUUUCCUUAACCUUUCUUUACUUUACACUACUUCACUUACUUUCCUUAACCUUUCUCUACUUUACAUUACCUUUGUUUGCUUUUCAUAGCUUUACUUUCUAAAUUGAUAUGGAAAAAAUUUUGGCUUAUUUUUUGGGCAUGGUAAAAAUCGUUUCCUUGUUUUGAUAUUCGAUACCUACUAUAUUAUACUUCAAAUAUAAUGUAACUAUAUAUCGAUAUAUUAUUGUGUCAAGUUAUCGAACAUCAACCGAAUGGACGCUAUGUUAAUUACUGAGGGAGGUAAUUAAUGGUGGAGGGGAGAUGAGGUGAGGGGGAUAAACAGCUAUCGAGGCGAGGAAGACAAUAGUUACUUUAUCUCGUCAUCUACUUUAGUAAUUAGUGACCAUAAUACAUAAUAUAACUAUAUGCUAAUAACCACAUAGGGAAAACAAAACACGAAGUUCCCAAGUACUUCAGUGUAAUUUUACAUCUUCAGGGGUGAGUACAAACUCACCCCUGAAGAUGUGAAUUACACGAAAGCGCUUGGGAACUUCGUGUUUUCUUCUUUCCUUGUGGUUAUCAGCACAUAAAUGGAUCACGCUCACCUACAAUGAUUUAUUUGCAUAUUAUAACCUAAUACAUCGUCGUGUAGAUAAAUAUAGCUUAUUCUUAUACAAUACUGUAGACUUGAUAUUAUUUACGGACUCAAGAUAAAGAGCAAUUUUACUUAAUAAUUAUUUAAUACAUUUUCAUAGAUGUUAUAUUUUUGCAGAUAAUUUGAAGAUACGGGUUAUUUAAAUAUAUAUAGUAUAUCAUAAACUACAAUGGGUAUAUACAUAGAGUAUAUAAUAUAGUGGACUUCCUUAUAUUUAGAAUCUUGUGUAAUUGUGAAUGUGUUAUAGUUACCGAUUUUAGGUUUAAGGUUUUGCAUUGUAUAAAAAAAGGUCAGUUGUAAUAUUUCUUUAAUAAACUAUCCCUUCCACCUCCUCAA
rnacentral:lncRNA from 1 species